rnacentral:lncRNA from 1 species
AGAGCUGUCGUGCAAUUUUCUGGUCCAGCAGUAGGGCAUGUCUUCUUUUUGGCACACAGGUGAUCAUGGGAAGUGCCUCCGUGCUGACUCUGAGCAUCCCAGUCAGUGUCGCUGUCAGCAAGAGGUUCUCCUUCUGCACAGACAUCUGCCUGCUGGAGACAGACACUGUGGAUAAUGUGUUCCAUAAAGCAAAAAGUGUAGAGGACCAUACAUUACCUAUCCCUCCCUUAGAGAAAUAUUGCUCUUCUUUCGUCGGAAUUUGAGAUCCGUGCUACAAUACUGGUGACAAAUUAUGACUCUUAUGUGUAUCAUUUCAUAUUAAUAAAUGGUGAGUUGAACUCUGACUGUGCUGGAGA